rnacentral:rRNA from 1 species
UCGAAACCUGCUCUGCAGAACGACCCGUGAACAUGUUUGUAAAUCGAGGGGUUGACGCUGGAUUCGUCCAUUGUUGAUCCCUCAUUGGGGCCUGGACGAGGAAAAUGGGAUCAGGCUAUGCCUUUACCAUGCGAUCCUUGCUCUUGGACCUCCUAACCAAACCCCGGCGCCAAACGCGCCAAGGAAUUGCAAACGAAAAGAUCGCACGCCUGGGUGCCCUGGAAACGGUGAGCAUCUGGAAUGUGUAGCACUUUUGAGAACUAAAACGACUCUCGGCAACGGAUAUCUCGGCUCUCGCAUCGAUGAAGAACGCAGCGAAAUGCGAUACUUGGUGUGAAUUGCAGGAUCCCGCGAACCAUCGAGUCUUUGAACGCAAGUUGCGCCCGAAGCCUUUUGGCCGAGGGCACGUCUGCCUGGGUGUCACUCAAUCGUCGCCCCAACUACUUCCCUCAUGAGGGAUAUGGGUGGGGCGGAUGUUGGCUUCCCGUGUGCUUGAUAGCUUGCGGUUGGCCCAAAUUCCCGGUCCUCGGCGACAGUGCCACGACAAUCGGUGGUUGAAAGACCCUCGCUAAUUGUCGUGUGUGCUCAAGUGUCAUUUGGACCUAUGAGACCCCAAAGCGUACCCAAUGGUGCGUUCGCUAUGCGACCCCAGGU